rnacentral:rRNA from 1 species
UACGUAGGCAGCGAGCGUUGUUCGGAGUUACUGGGCGUAAAGGGUGUGUAGGCGGUUGUUUAAGUUUGGUGUGAAAUCUCCCGGCUCAACUGGGAGGGUGCGCCGAAUACUGAAUGACUUCGAGGUGCGGGAGAGGAGAGUGGAAUUCCUGGUGUAGCGGUGAAAUGCGUAGAUAUCAGGAGGAACACCGGUGGUGUAGACGGCUCUCUGGACCGUAACUGACGCUGAGACACGAAAGCGUGGGUAGCAAACAGG